rnacentral:tRNA from 1 species
UGUUUAUUUAGUAUAAAAGUAUAUAAAGCUUCCAACUUUAAGGGUUUCAAAUGAAA